CGGUUGAUCCUGCCGGAGGCCAUUGCUAUUGGGAUCCGAUUUAGCCAUGCUAGUUGUACGAGUUCAGACUCGUAGCGAAUAGCUCAGUAACACGUGGCCAAACUACCCUUCGGACCACGAUACCCUCGGGAAACUGAGGUUAAUAGUGGAUCACACACUCAUACUGGAAUGUCGAGUGUGUCAAACGCUCCGGCGCCGAAGGAUGUGGCUGCGGCCGAUUAGGUAGACGGUGGGGUAACGGCCCACCGUGCCAAUAAUCGGUACGGGUCAUGAGAGUGAGAACCCGGAGACGGAAUCUGAGACAAGAUUCCGGGCCCUACGGGGCGCAGCAGGCGCGAAACCUUUACACUGCACGGAAGUGCGAUAGGGGAAUCCCAAGUGCGAGGGCAUAUUAGCCCUCGCUUUUGUUGACUGUAAGGUGGUCAACGAAUAAGAGCUGGGCAAGACCGGUGCCAGCCGCCGCGGUAAUACCGGCAGCUCAAGUGAUGUCCCAUAUUAUUGGGCCUAAAGCGUCCGUAGCUGGCCAGCCAAGUCCAUCGGGAAAUCCACCCGCCCAACGGGUGGGCGUCCGGUGGAAACUGGCUGGCUUGGAACCGGAAGGCUCAGAGAGUACGUCCGGGGUAGGAGUGAAAUCCCGUAAUCCCGGACGGACUACCGAUGGCGAAAGCACUCUGAGAAGACGGCUUCGACAGUGAGGGACGAAAGCUAGGGUCUCAAACCGGAUUAGAUACCCGGGUAGUC
rnacentral:rRNA from 1 species